rnacentral:lncRNA from 1 species
UGUUUUUAUCUUGCGGUUUCAGCUUACUCCAGAACAUGCUAAACUUCCAUCAACCUUGUCUGUAUUCAGCAACUUUUUGCUAGGGGAGAUAUUCUCUCAGGUUGGUUUCAUCAAAGUUGCUUCUUAUUGUUUUGCUCCUUGGAAUGUUCUGUAAAAUAAGUUCGUGAUUUAUAUCAACAAAUAGGAUCCUCUAAGAGCUAGUGACAAGCCUUUGACGAGCUGUGGUCCUUACAAAAUGAAAGAAGACGAUGCAAUGGUUUACCGAAGACCUUAUCUUACCUCAGGUUCUUCUGGUUUUGCCCUUAACGCCAUCAGCAGAGCCAUGAAGAAGGAGCUUAAGGUUCCUAGAGUGUCCUGUCAAGAUUAAGAAUAUUGAAGUUGAAAUCUAGAGAAAGAUUAGAAAUAUCUAAGAGUUUUAACUUACAGGGCUAUGCAGAAGAGAUGAGGACAUCACUGAUGGAUAAAAACUGGAAAAUCCCGACCACCGUGUGCUGGGGACAACGAGACAAGUGGCUAAGCUAUGAAGGAGUUGAAGACUUCUGCAAGUCUUCGGGACAUAAACUCAUCGAACUACCAA